GAUGAACGCUAGCGGCAGGCUUAACACAUGCAAGUCGAGGGGUAUUUAUCUUCGGAUUGAGAGACCGGCGCACGGGUGCGUAACGCGUAUGCAAUCUACCUUUUACAGAGGGAUAGCCCAGAGAAAUUUGGAUUAAUACCUCAUAGUAUAUAGACUCGGCAUCGAGAUUAUAUUAAAGUCACAACGGUAAAAGAUGAGCAUGCGUCCCAUUAGCUAGUUGGUAAGGUAACGGCUUACCAAGGCUACGAUGGGUAGGGGUCCUGAGAGGGAGACACCCCACAAUGGUAACGAGGUACAGACCAGACUCCUACGGGAGGGAGCAGUAAGGAAGAUUAGACGAGGAGCGCAAGCCUGAUCCAGCCGUGCCGCGUGAAGGAGGACGGUCCUAUGGAUUGUAAACUGCUGGUAUACGAGAAGAAACGCUGAUACGUGUAGCAGCUUGACGGUAUCGUAAGAAUAAGGAUCGGCUAACUCCGUG
rnacentral:rRNA from 1 species